UUCUUGGGGUUCUUUGUGCUCCCAAAUCCCAGACGAGCCCCCAGAUGUAGGAACCCCCCCAUAUGGGGACCUCCACUCUAAUCCAGGGAUAGUGUGCACCCACGAACACGCAAGAAUCC
rnacentral:pre_miRNA from 7 species